CUGACCCACCCGCUGCUCCCCUCAGCAGUGUAUUUCAGCUUGUUUCUUGCAUACAAGAGGAUGAUGGGAACAUGGCUGCUGGAACAUGAGAAGCUUCAGGAUUUUAUCAUCCAUCACAGUCUAGGAGCCGUAGGAGACAGAAACAUCUCAGUUUCUGUAUAUAAAAUCCAAGGCCUGCCCUGGUGGCGCAGCGGGU